rnacentral:rRNA from 1 species
UACGUAGGGGGCGAGCGUUGUUCGGAAUUACUGGGCGUAAAGCGCGUGUAGGCUGCUCGGAUAGUCGGGUGUGAAAGCCCUGGGCUCAACCCAGGAAGUGCAUUCGAUACUGCCGAGCUUGAGUCCUGGAGAGGAAGGCGGAAUUCUCGGUGUAGAGGUGAAAUUCGUAGAUAUCGAGAGGAACACCGGUGGCGAAGGCGGCCUUCUGGACAGUGACUGACGCUGAGACGCGAAAGCGUGGGGAGCAAACAGG